GUGAACGCUGGCGGUAGGCCUAACACAUGCAAGUCGAACGGCAGCACAGUAAGAGCUUGCUCUUACGGGUGGCGAGUGGCGGACGGGUGAGGAAUACAUCGGAAUCUACUUUUUCGUGGGGGAUAACGUAGGGAAACUUACGCUAAUACCGCAUACGACCUACGGGUGAAAGCAGGGGAUCUUCGGACCUUGCGCGAUUGAAUGAGCCGAUGUCGGAUUAGCUAGUUGGCGGGGUAAAGGCCCACCAAGGCGACGAUCCGUAGCUGGUCUGAGAGGAUGAUCAGCCACACUGGAACUGAGACACGGUCCAGACUCCUACGGGAGGCAGCAGUGGGGAAUAUUGGACAAUGGGCGCAAGCCUGAUCCAGCCAUACCGCGUGGGUGAAGAAGGCCUUCGGGUUGUAAAGCCCUUUUGUUGGGAAAGAAAAGCAGCAGGUUAAUACCCCGCUGUUCUGACGGUACCCAAAGAAUAAGCACCGGCUAACUUCGUA
rnacentral:rRNA from 1 species